GGAUUGCCCCAGUAACGGCGAGUGAAGCGGCAACAGCUCAAAUUUAAAAUCCGGCCCUCCCGGGGUCCGAGUUGUAAUUUGCAGAGGAUGCUCCGGCGCGGGCCCCGGGCCAAGUCCCUUGGAACAGGGCGUCCUGGAGGGUGAGAGCCCCGUACGCCCGGGUCGCCUGCGCCGUCCGGAGCUCCUUCGACGAGUCGAGUUGUUUGGGAAUGCAGCUCUAAGUGGGAGGUAAAUUUCUUCUAAAGCUAAAUACCGGCCAGAGACCGAUAGCGCACAAGUAGAGUGAUCGAAAGAUGAAAAGCACUUUGGAAAGAGAGUUAAAAAGCACGUGAAAUUGUUGAAAGGGAAGCUCUUGCCGCCAGACUUGCCGCGGUUGUUCACCCGACCCCCGCGGUCGGGGCACUCCUCCGCCGGCAGGCCAGCGUCAGCUCGGGCGGCCGGACAAAGGCCCCGGGAAUGUGGCCCCCCUCGGGGGGUGUUAUAGCCUGGGGUGCAAUGCGGCCCGCCUGGGUUGAGGCACGCGUUCGCUAGGACGCUGGCGUAAUGGCUGCAAGCGACCCGUCUUGAAACACGGACCAAGGAGUCUAACAUCUGUGCGAGUGUUCGGGCGUCAAACCCGUGCGCGCAAUGAAAGUGAACGGAGGUGGGAACCCGCGAGGGUGCACCAUCGACCGAUCCUGAUGUCUUCGGAUGGAUUUGAGUAAGAGCAUAGCUGUUGGGACCCGAAAGAUGGUGAACUAUGCCUGAAUAGGGUGAAGCCAGAGGAAACUCUGGUGGAGGCUCGCAGCGGUUCUGACGUGCAAAUCGAUCGUCAAAUAUGGGCAUAGGGGCGAAAG
rnacentral:rRNA from 1 species